UGAGGAUUAUAAUUAACAUGAAUGUUUGU
rnacentral:piRNA from 1 species